GACGCCAUUGUCGCCGGGUCUGGGUUGUAAAACAUUACAAGGGAACACUGAAACCCGCGGCCAAACUGCAUCCGUAGCCCGCCGCCAGCUAACGAACGCCCCCGAGAACGUUUUCCACUGCGGCCCACUGAAUUGGUCUUUUCACGGGAGCAGGGAGAGGUCCAUCCUCGUUUCAUCUACUCAAAGGAGGCCUGUGGUUCCCAAACAGCUUUUGAGCAACACCACAGAGCAGCUCUAGAAUCACAGAGGAAGUCCUGGCUGGUUGCAUGGACCACUGACAAGAGCCAAGGGAUUACCCAGGUGCAAGCAGGGGACCUCUCCAUCAGAAAACCUGUCAAAGGGCAGUUUCUGAACCCUCCCCAGAGCACCGAUUCAGAACCUCUGAGGAUAAAACCCAGAAAUCUGCUUUUCUUAACAAGCUCCAUCAAGUAAUUUUGAUGCCUGCCAAAAGUCUGAGAAACACGGCUUAAAUGUGAAUGAGUAAUUUGUCCACAGACCCUGACCCUAAAGAGCAGUCUUUCAGAGGUCCCUGGCUUUCAUUGGAUUUUCCAAAGGGAUCCUGAAUAAGAAGCCUGGCCCUUGAGGAAGAAGAUGGAGGGGCAGCCAGCAGCCACGGAAGGAGUCUGACUCCCCUGAGCCCACCACGCUGGGUAGGCCGCAUGCACAUGCUCCAGGGGGACAGCCUAGCUGAGGUCCCAGCCAAAAGCCAGCAUCGACUGCAGGAUUAUGACAGUGUGCCAUCCGGGAAGUCCAGCCUGGUGCCAUCAGCUACCUGCCACCCCAGCCAGCGCCUGGCUGCAGGCAAG